GAUGAACGCUGGCGGCGUGCCUAAUACAUGCAAGUCGAGCGAACAGAUGAGGAGCUUGCUCCUCUGACGUUAGCGGCGGACGGGUGAGUAACACGUGGAUAACCUACCUAUAAGACUGGGAUAACUUCGGGAAACCGGAGCUAAUACCGGAUAAUAUAUUGAACCGCAUGGUUCAAUAGUGAAAGACGGUUUUGCUGUCACUUAUAGAUGGAUCCGCGCCGCAUUAGCUAGUUGGUAAGGUAACGGCUUACCAAGGCAACGAUACGUAGCCGACCUGAGAGGGUGAUCGGCCACACUGGAACUGAGACACGGUCCAGACUCCUACGGGAGGCAGCAGUAGGGAAUCUUCCGCAAUGGGCGAAAGCCUGACGGAGCAACGCCGCGUGAGUGAUGAAGGUCUUCGGAUCGUAAAACUCUGUUAUUAGGGAAGAACAAAUGUGUAAGUAACUGUGCACAUCUUGACGGUACCUAAUCAGAAAGCCACGGCUAACUACGUG
rnacentral:rRNA from 1 species